rnacentral:rRNA from 1 species
CAAUAGCGUAUAUUAAAGUUGUUGCAGUUAAAAAGCUCGUAGUUGGAUUUGUGGCCGUCGCUAGCGGCCUAUCACUUAGUGUUAGCGCUUGCUGGCGGCGCCAUCCUUGGGUGGAGCCCGUGUGGCAUUAGGUUGUCGUGCGGGGAUGCCCAUCGUUUACUGUGAGAAAAUUAGAGUGUUCAAAGCAGGCUUAUGCCAUUGAAUAUGUUAGCAUGGAAUAAUAAGAUAGGACCUCGGUACUAUUUUGUUGGUUUGCGCACCGAGGUAAUGAUUAAUAGGGACAGUUGGGGGUAUUCGUAUUCCAUUGUCAGAGGUGAAAUUCUUGGAUUUCUGGAAGACGAACUACUGCGAAAGCAUUUACCAAGGAUGUUUUCAUUAA